rnacentral:lncRNA from 1 species
CAGACACCGUGGGGCCGUCUUCCCGGGAUGCGCUCCCCAGCGCCCUCCACGCUCGGUUCGCGGGGGGCUGCAGGUUGCAACCUGCCCACGGACUGGCGGUGGGUGCCACAAAUAGUAUUUAGAGACCACAGUCUGGGCACCAGGGUGCUCACGGCUGCUGGGUUGGCCGUUAUUUCUCCGUCUUUCCAGUUGUCCUAGGGUUUUUGAUCUUGGGAUCAGAAGACCUGAAUAGGCCUCUGUCCUUGAUGGCAACUUAGAGGAGGUCGUGGCCGUCAUGAAGAUUGUUGAGAGAGACCAGAGAGAAAGAGAAUAAAGCAGCUUGAAAAGAUGAGCAGAGAUGGGCAUAGAGGUCAUGGGGCUGCAGGUCCUGGAUCCAGCGGUUCCUGAAGCCCUGCCUCCUUGCUCCUUCUGCUUAGUGUACUUCAGCUCAGGAGGCAGAAUGCUUUUGUUUCAAGUGAUAAACAACAGGAGCUGGCUGAAGAGAAAAGAAGGACGUUUUAUGAAGCACCUGGAGACUCUGGGUUGACAUCCCAGCAGCCCUUGCAGGACGACAGCACCUUUCUCAAUCGUCGCAGAAAAUGCCCCAAGGCUGGUUCUCAUUAGCCUGCUGUGGAAACGGGGCAGAGUCAGCCCCUCUCAUACGAGGAUGUGGGCUGAAAUUGGAGGAGGGGCGGGUCCCCAGAAAAGAAAGACCAGGAUUCUGUGAGCAGAAGUGAUGGUGGAUAAGCAAGAACUGCAGAGCCCCCUCACAGCCCGCUGGCCCUUGGCCAGGCCUCCUGGAUUCCCUGUGGGGUUCCCCUCUGGCCCUCGGGGGGAAACCAGCUCCUUUUCUUGUUUUUUUUGAUGAGAACUUCACAUAACAUGCAAUUAGCCAUUUUAAAGUGUACAGUUCAGCGGCAUUUAGUGCAUUCACAAGGUGGUGCAACCAUUUACCUCUCUCUCAUUCCAGAACAUUCUCAUCACCCCAAUUGGAAACCCCAUCCCAUCAGCAGUCUCCCCCACCGCCUCCCCAGCCCCUGGCCCCCACGAGCCCGCUCCCUGUCUGUGGAUCUGCCUGUUCUGGAUGUUUCACGUCAAUGGGGCCACACGCCAUGUAUCCUUCUGUGUCUGCUUCUCUCCCUGAGCGUUGUGUGUUCAGGUCCGUCCACGUGUGGCUGUGUCAGGGCCUCGCUCCUCUUCACGGCUGCAUCAUGUUCCAGUGUGUGUACGGAUAUGUUGCCUGUAUCCAUCCAUCCAUUGAUGGGUUCUUUUCUUUCUAAAUUUUUACAACUUUAUUGGGGUUUUUUUUUU